rnacentral:rRNA from 1 species
AUUGAACGCUGGCGGCAGGCCUAACACAUGCAAGUCGAACGAGCGGCGGACUGGUGAGUAAUGUAUGGGGAACUGCCUGAUAGAGGGGGAUAACUACUGGAAACGUUUGCUAAUACCGCAUACCAUCGGAUGUGCCCAUAUGGGAUUAGCGAGUAGGUGGGGUAAAGGCUCACCUAGGCGACGAUCCCUAGCUGGUCUGAGAGGAUGACGAGCCACACUGGAACUGAGACACGGUCCAGACUCCUACGGGAGGCAGCAGUGGGGAAUAUUGCACAAUGGGCGCAAGCCUGAUGCAGCCAUGCCGCGUGUAUGAAGAAGGCCUUCGGGUUGUAAAGUACUUUCAGCGGGGAGGCGUUACCCGCAGAAGAAGCACCGGCUAACUCCGUGCCAGCAGCCGCGGUAAUAC